GCAUAUCAAUAAGCGGAGGAAGUUCCGUAGGUGCCCCUGCGGAUCCGAUAUCAAUCCGCGGAGUAAGUUUACAUAAAGGCAAAGAAGGUUUACGAAUUUAUAACGGAACAAAACUUUCAACAACGGAUCUCUUGGCUCUCGCAUCGAUGAAGAACGUAGCGAAAUGCGAUACGUAAUGUGAAUUGCAGAAUUCAGUGAAUCAUCGAAUCUUUGAACGCACCUUGCGCUCCUUGGUAUUCCGAGGAGCAUGCCUGUUUGAGUGUCAUGAAAUCUUCAACCCACCUCUUUCUUAGUGAAUCUGGUGGUGCUUGGUUUCUGAGCGCUGCUCUGCUUCGGCUUAGCUCGUUCGUAAUGCAUUAGCAUCCGCAACCGAACUUCGGAUUGACUUGGCGUAAUAGACUAUUCGCUGAGGAUUCUAGUUUACUAGAGCCGAGUUGGGUUAAAGGAAGCUCCUAAUCCUAAAGUCUAUUUUUUGAUUAGAUCUCAAAUCAGGUAGGACUACCCGCUGAACUUAAGCAUAUCAAUAAGCGGAGGAAA
rnacentral:rRNA from 1 species